AGGUGGGGAGCUCUUCAGGACUGGUAGGUUUGGUUUCUCGGAGAGUACGGCAGCCUUCCUAUGCAAUGCGACUGAUUGUUGGGUGGGAAUGUUCCAGCUUGUGUGUCUUAGGCAAUGUAGCCUGUGUAGUGUCUGUUGUGUGGCCUGGGCAGAUUUUGCUGUGGUGCUGUGAGUGAAGAAUCUGAGUUAGAGCUGGUGAGCAGCUGAAGUACCGGAGCUGGGAAGAGAGAGGUCUUGCAGCAGGUACACUGUGGCUGUGAGGUGCCUCAGAGUGUGCUUUUCCCUUUUCUCUGCAGGUGCUUUGUGCAGUCGUGGACAGGGAAGGGAUAUCUUCCUGUGAUGGAGCUCUGAGGGAAGGUGGCGUGGGUGAUGUUGGCCGCUCCUUUCAAGCUUGGACGUAAUUUUCAGGCUGAAACGCAGUGCGCAGUGCAGGACCUCUCGACCCAAGCUGCCUCUGCAGUGACUCUGGUGCUUGAUGAGCAGAGGU